GACGAACGCUGGCGGCGUGCUUAACACAUGCAAGUCGAACGAGAAUCUACUGAAAGAGUUUUCGGACAAUGGAUGUAGAGGAAAGUGGCGGACGGGUGAGUAACGCGUGAGGAACCUGCCUUGAAGAGGGGGACAACAGUUGGAAACGACUGCUAAUACCGCAUGACGCAUAGGGGUCGCAUGAUCUUUAUGCCAAAGAUUUAUCGCUUCAAGAUGGCCUCGCGUCUGAUUAGCUGGUUGGCGGGGUAACGGCCCACCAAGGCGACGAUCAGUAGCCGGACUGAGAGGUUGAACGGCCACAUUGGGACUGAGAUACGGCCCAGACUCCUACGGGAGGCAGCAGUGGGGAAUAUUGGGCAAUGGGCGCAAGCCUGACCCAGCAACGCCGCGUGAAGGAAGAAGGCUUUCGGGUUGUAAACUUCUUUUAAGAGGGAAGAGGAGAAGACGGUACCUCUAGAAUAAGCCACGGCUAACUACGUGCCAGCAGCCGCGGUAAUACGUAGGUGGCAAGCGUUGUCCGGAUUUACUGGGUGUAAAGGGCGUGCAGCCGGGUCUGCAAGUCAGAUGUGAAAUCCAUGGGCUCAACCCAUGAACUGCAUUUGAAACUGUAGAUCUUGAGUGUCGGAGGGGCAAUCGGAAUUCCUAGUGUAGCGGUGAAAUGCGUAGAUAUUAGGAGGAACACCAGUGGCGAAGGCGGAUUGCUGGAC
rnacentral:rRNA from 1 species